rnacentral:rRNA from 1 species
UACGGAGGGUGCAAGCGUUAUCCGGAUUCACUGGGUUUAAAGGGUGCGUAGGAGGACUGGUAAGUCAGUGGUGAAAUCCCCGAGCUUAACUUGGGAACUGCCGUUGAUACUAUCAGUCUUGAAUACCGUGGAGGUGAGCGGAAUAUGUCAUGUAGCGGUGAAAUGCUUAGAUAUGACAUAGAACACCAAUUGCGAAGGCAGCUCACUACACAAUCAUUGACGCUGAGGCACGAAAGCGUGGGGAUCAAACAGG